rnacentral:rRNA from 1 species
UACGUAGGGUGCGAGCGUUAAUCGGAAUUACUGGGCGUAAAGCGUGCGCAGGCGGUUUUGUAAGGCAGAUGUGAAAUCCCCGGGCUCAACCUGGGAAUGGCAUUUGGGACUGCAAGGCUUGAGUUUGGCAGAGGAGACUGGAAUUCCUGGUGUAGCAGUGAAAUGCGUAGAUAUCAGGAGGAAUACCGAUGGCGAAGGCAGGUCUCUGGGCUAUAACUGACGCUCAUGCACGAAAGCGUGGGGAGCAAACAGG